rnacentral:rRNA from 1 species
UACGUAGGGUCCAAGCGUUAUCCGGAAUCACUGGGCGUAAAGCGUGCGUAGGUGGAUUGUUAAGUGCGGUGCGAAAUCCUAAUGGCUCAACCAUAUGGACUGUAUCGCAUACUGGCUAUCUAGAGGACAUGAGAGGCAAGUGGAAUUACCGGUGUAGCAGUGAAAUGACGUAGAUAUCGGUAGGAACACCAAUGGCGAAGGCAGCUUGCUGGCAUGUAUCUGACGCUAAGGCACGAAAGCGUGGGGAGCGAACAGG